rnacentral:rRNA from 1 species
AUUGAACGCUGGCGGCAUGCUUUACACAUGCAAGUCGAACGGCAGCACGGACUUCGGUCUGGUGGCGAGUGGCGAACGGGUGAGUAAUACAUCGGAACGUGCCCAGUUGUGGGGGAUAACUACUCGAAAGAGUAGCUAAUACCGCAUGAGAACGGAGAGUGAAAGCAGGGGAUCGUAAGACCUUGCGCAACUGGAGCGGCCGAUGGCAGAUUAGGUAGUUGGUGGGAUAAAAGCUUACCAAGCCGACGAUCUGUAGCUGGUCUGAGAGGACGAUCAGCCACACUGGGACUGAGACACGGCCCAGACUCCUACGGGAGGCAGCAGUGGGGAAUUUUGGACAAUGGGCGAAAGCCUGAUCCAGCAAUGCCGCGUGCAGGAUGAAGGCCUUCGGGUUGUAAACUGCUUUUGUACGGAACGAAAAGCUCUGGGUUAAUACCCUGGGGUCAUGACGGUACCGUAAGAAUAAGCACCGGCUAACUACGUGCCAGCCGCCGCCGUAACAC